rnacentral:rRNA from 1 species
CCUACGGGCGGCAGCAGUGAGGAAUAUUGGUCAAUGGACGGAAGUCUGAACCAGCCAUGCCGCGUGCAGGAAGACGGCUCUAUGAGUUGUAAACUGCUUUUGUACAAGGGUAAACCUGAAUACGUGUAUUCCGCUGAACGUACUGUACGAAUAAGGAUCGGCUAACUCCGUGCCAGCAGCCGCGGUAAUACGGAGGAUCCAAGCGUUAUCCGGAUUUAUUGGGUUUAAAGGGUGCGUAGGCGGACUGUUAAGUCAGCGGUAAAAGCCCGGGGCUCAACCCCGGCGAGCCGUUGAAACUGGCGGUCUUGAGAGGUCGAGAGGUAGGCGGAAUGCGCAGUGUAGCGGUGAAAUGCUUAGAUAUUGCGCAGAACUCCGAUUGCGAAGGCAGCAUACCGGCGGCGAUCUGACGCUGAGGCACGAAAGCGUGGGUAUCGAACAGGAUUAGAUACCCUAGUAGUC